GGAUGAACGCUGGCGGUGUGCCUAAUACAUGCAAGUCGAACGGGCUCUUCGGAGCUAGUGGCGGACGGGUGAGUAACACGUUGGUACCUACCCCUAAGUGGGGAAUAACUGCCCGAAAGGGUGGCUAAUACCGCAUAAUCCCGCAAGGGUAAAGCAGUAAUGCGCUUAGGGAGGGGCCUGCGUCUGAUUAGCUAGUUGGUGAGGUAAUUGCUCACCAAGGCGACGAUCAGUAGCNGGAUCGAGAGGUUGACCAGCCACACUGGGACUGAGAUACGGCCCAGACUCCUACGGGAGGCAGCAGUAAGGAAUCUUCCACAAUGGACGAAAGUCUGAUGGAGCAACACCGCGUGCAGGAUGACGGCCUUGGUU
rnacentral:rRNA from 1 species